AUUACGCUAGGCCCAAUCACAGCCCGGUGUGAUACAUGCUGGAUUUGAACCAGGUAGUAUAGUGACGCCGCUUGAGAUGCAGUGCCUUAGACCACUGCACCACUCGGGAGCACUAUGAACUAAUAGUAUAUGUUAUGCAGUAUGUACUCAUUAAGUAUGUAGUAUAUAGUAUGUUAGUAUGGGUAUUCGAACACAGCUUAGGUCUUUUGGGGCAGUAUGCAUCAAGCCUCUCAGAGUAAGAGUGACGAUUUAGGAUCAGUUUUGCCUUUUAGAUCACAUUGAAUAACAUUACAUUUACGGGGAAGCUCCUCCCCCCAGCCUUCACUGAUUUAUACAGCCCCUGGUCUUUCCUGGCCAAGUAUGUAAGGUAGUGCCUCUACUCCAAUUGUUUGAGAACAGGACCCCCUUUUUCCUAAAGUGUAAUCCAAAACAGACUAUCUAUCAGUUUGUCAUAGCUACUAUCUAGGUUCAUUGUUUGUUGAGAAAUUAUGAAGCUGCUUCAAAUGGGGGUAAGGGUCUUCAACAUAGAUAAUCCUUGAAGUAUGUGCCCUAAUCUCUGUUACUUUGAUCAACUCUUCUAGGCUGAACCUCCCUUCAUAGCGUAAUGUUUUCAUUAUGAGUGCAAACAAAGUUUUGGAGACAAUGAGUGGAAGCCUCUUCAGACUGUUGGAAGUGACAGUAGACUUAUGCUUAAACCGGUGCUACAAAAAGGGCUGUGACAUACUUGGCAUUCCUUUUUUUUUGCGAAAAGGGACAUCACUUUUUGACUAAAUGAUGUGUCGUGCUUAAAGGAUAAGUGUGGGUGAGCAUAUAAGGCGAACGUCUAGCAUCCCAAUGGUUGCUUGUAACUCAUCACAGGCAACUUUAGCUUUUUUUCUUCUAAUUAUCAACUUCGCAAUGAUUUACACAUUUUUAUCUACUUUGAAACUACUUAGCAUGUUAGCUAACCCUUCCCCUAACCCUAACCGUAACCCUUUAACCUAACUCCUAACCUUAACCUUAGACCUAACCUUAACCCUUAACCCCUAGCCUAGCUAACUUUAGCCACCUAGGUAAUGAUAGCACCUAGCUACCGAGCUAACGUUAGCCACAACAAAUUGGAAUUCGUAAUAUAUCAUAUGUUUAGCAAUUCGUAACAUAUUGUACGAAUUACAAUUCGUAAAAUAUAAUAUGAAAUGGAUGAUGGACAUGCACAAAUUAAUACAUACAAUACAAAACAUAUCAUACUAAUUGGAGUAUCUCAAAUUUACUUUUACUAUGUUACGUCUACCCCUGAGUCCAGGUUGUUCUAAGUGACCUUAUUUUAGCAGAAGGGAAAACAUAGAAUUACAAUUGAAAUUGACAAAGAAUUGUCUUAAUUUUUUAAUGCAAAUCUCUUCUGUAAUGUUCAACCCCGAGAACCUGUGUUAAGUUGUAAAAGUCAUGAACUGGUCCAUCAUGUGACCAGCCGCACAAAGUUAUAAACAGUAAGUAAUACUGUAAAUGGUUAACCAUUACAUAACUCUUUCUAUUGAAGUUCUGAAGGGUGACACAGUGUUUUUAGUCUGACAUAUAUUUAUAUUUUGGGGGGUUUGAAUAAACACUGCAAACAGCCUUCCCGACUGCUCGGAGGCAUCCGCAUGGUCCUAAAGCACACAAUUGCCUCGUUUUGUAUCACAUUCCAAUGAUAAAACUGGGGGGGGGGGGGACAAAAAUGCAUGUCCCCAGGGAAAUUUGCACCCCUGCUUAUUCCUGUCAUAACCUCCUGUUGGUUCUACUACAGUAUGUACUGACUCAGGCUCUGCCCUGGCUGUGUUUCUGCCUUGUCAUUGUGACUCGGCAUUCUGAAGUCUCAAGCAGAGACGGAAGAGGAAGCAAGACAGCCCACUCCUUCACCCCCCCCCCCCCCCACAAUGGAAGUCAAUUAACUAAGCAGACCACUAUCACAUUGUUGUCUGCUUAAGGAGCCACCUCCUUAAGCAGAUAGUGGUAAACGGCCUGAGUGAACUAUCUUAAUUUAUCCACCAUCUUUGGUCUCAAUGUAGUUCUGUUCCGUUAUCACAGUGCCAGUGGUGGAAGGAGGUGCAGUUUUGUGACUGCAGAAACAAACAUGAGGGGUGAUGAAUGGGCGAAGACCGGCUGAUACCAGAUUUGAAGAAAAGGAAAAACGAAGAGGGAUAGAACAGCAGGAACAUAUACUAUACUAUGAGGACCUGAGCCCUAGGACCAUACGUCAGGACUACUGGGCAUGAUGACUCCUUGCUGUCCCCAGUCCACCUGGCCUUGCUGCUGUUCCAGUUUCAACUGUUCUGCCUGCAGUUAUGGAACCCCUACCUGUCCCAGACCUGCUGUUUUCAACUCUGAAUGAUCGGCUAUGAAAAGCCAACUGACAUUUAUUCCUGAUUAUUAUUUGACCAUGCUUGUCAUUUAUGAACAUUUUGAACAUCUUGGCUCUCUCUAUUUCUCUCCUCUCUUUCUUUCUCUCUCUCGGAGGAACUGAGCCCUAGGACCAUACGUCAGGACCACCGGGCAUGAUGACUCCUUGCUGUCCCCAGUCCACCUGGCCUUGCUGCUGUCCCAGUUUCAACUGUUCUGCCUGCGGUUAUGGAACCCCUACCUGUCCCAGACCUGCUGUUUUCAACUCUUAAUUAUCGGCUAUGAAAAGCCAACUGACAUUUAUUCCUGAUUACUAUUUGACCAUGCUUGUCAUUUAUGAACAUUUUGAACAUCUUGGCCAUGUUCUGUUAUAAUCUCCACCCGGCACAGCCAGAAGAGGACUGGCCACCCCUCAUAGCCUGGUUCCUCUCUAGGUUUCUUCCUAGGUUUUGGCCUUUCUAGGGAGUUUUUCCUAGCUACCGUGCUUCUACACCUGCAUUGCUUGCUGUUUGGGGUUUUAGGCUGGGAUUCUGUACAGCACUUCGAGAUAUUAGCUGAUGUAUGAAGGGCAAUAUAAAAUAAACUUGAUUGAUUGAUUGAUUGAAUUUAAGGGAAAAUACAACAACUUUUCUGAAAA